UGGAGGUGAUGAACUGUCUUGACCUGAUCUUGUAUAAUGGAGGCCAAAAAAACUGAUUUAAUGANNCUGAUCC
rnacentral:snoRNA from 1 species